UACGAAGGGGGCUAGCGUUGUUCGGAGUUAUUGGGCGUAAAGGGCGCGUAGGCGGCGGGGUAAGUCGGGUGUGAAAUCUCAGGGCUCAACCCUGAAACUGCACUUGAUACUGCUCUGCUUGAGGACUGGAGAGGAGACUGGAAUUCACGGUGUAGCAGUGAAAUGCGUAGAUAUCGUGAGGAAGACCAGUGGCGAAGGCGGGUCUCUGGACAGUUCCUGACGCUGAGGCGCGAAGGCCAGGGGAGCAAACGGG
rnacentral:rRNA from 1 species